UCCUCGCUCGAAGAAUCGCAACGAAGCACACGCACAGAGCGCACCCGGUGCGUCUCGCCUCGGCAUGCUUUGGGAGAAAGUCCCCGGACAUCGGUCUUCGCGAUCGCACUUUCAGCAACGAACCGCCAUAGAAGCAGCGGCUUCCACCACCGACUACGGCGCCUUUCCGCGUCUCUUUAUCCGCCUGCACUCUUGUCCAUCGGUUCUCCUGACGCUGCGGGUGGAGGGGCUGGCACCUGGAUGAUGACACGAGUCCGUUGGCUACCUUGCUCGCGUGCCCAAGGUGGCUGGGGAUAGGAGGAGGAGGGAGAUGGCGGCGAGUGCCAGGUAUGGAGGGUCGUCUCGUCCAGUUUAUGGUUAUGCGAUUGCCUUUCGUGCGCUUUGGCAACACAAGGCGCGCUGGAGGUAACUCAAUGGGGCUCAUUCUCGACGCGAGG
rnacentral:RNase_MRP_RNA from 2 species